rnacentral:rRNA from 1 species
UCCUGGCUCAGGACGAACGCUGGCGGCGUGCUUAACACAUGCAAGUCGAACGGUGAAGGGGCCUGCUUUUUGUGGGUCCUGGAUGAGUGGCGAACGGGUGAGUAACACGUGAGUAACCUGCCCCCUUCUUCUGGAUAACCGCAUGAAAGUGUGGCUAAUACGGGAUAUUCUGGGUCUGUCGCAUGGUGGGCCUGGGAAAGGUUUUUUCCGGUGGGGGAUGGGCUCGCGGCCUAUCAGCUUGUUGGUGGGGUGAUGGCCUACCAAGGCGGUGACGGGUAGCCGGCCUGAGAGGGUGGACGGUCACACUGGGACUGAGACACGGCCCAGACUCCUACGGGAGGCAGCAGUGGGGAAUAUUGCACAAUGGGCGCAAGCCUGAUGCAGCGACGCCGCGUGAGGGAUGGAGGCCUUCGGGUUGUGAACCUCUUUCGCCAGUGAAGCAGGCCUGCUCCUUUUUUGUGGGUGGGUUGACGGUAGCUGGAUAAGAAGCGCCGGCUAACUACGUGCCAGCAGCCGCGGUAAUACGUAGGGCGCGAGCGUUGUCCGGAAUUAUUGGGCGUAAAGAGCUCGUAGGCGGCUGGUCGCGUCUGUCGUGAAAUCCUCUGGCUUAACUGGGGGCUUGCGGUGGGUACGGGCCGGCUUGAGUGCGGUAGGGGAGGCUGGAACUCCUGGUGUAGCGGUGGAAUGCGCAGAUAUCAGGAAGAACACCGGUGGCGAAGGCGGGUCUCUGGGCCGUUACUGACGCUGAGGAGCGAAAGCGUGGGGAGCGAACAGGAUUAGAUACCCUGGUAGUCCACGCCGUAAACGUUGGGCACUAGGUGUGGGGGGCCUUUUCCGGGUUUUCCGCGCCGUAGCUAACGCAUUAAGUGCCCCGCCUGGGGAGUACGGCCGCAAGGCUAAAACUCAAAGGAAUUGACGGGGGCCCGCACAAGCGGCGGAGCAUGCGGAUUAAUUCGAUGCAACGCGAAGAACCUUACCAAGGCUUGACAUGUGCCGGUCUGCUCCGGAGACGGGGUUUCCUCCCUUGUGGGGGCUGGUUCACAGGUGGUGCAUGGUUGUCGUCAGCUCGUGUCGUGAGAUGUUGGGUUAAGUCCCGCAACGAGCGCAACCCUUGUCUCGUGUUGCCAGCACGUUGUGGUGGGGACUCGCGGGAGACUGCCGGGGUCAACUCGGAGGAAGGUGGGGAUGACGUCAAAUCAUCAUGCCCCUUAUGUCUUGGGCUUCACGCAUGCUACAAUGGCCGGUACAGAGGGCUGCGAUACCGUGAGGUGGAGCGAAUCCCUUAAAGCCGGUCUCAGUUCGGAUCGGUGUCUGCAACUCGACACCGUGAAGUUGGAGUCGCUAGUAAUCGCAGAUCAGCAACGCUGCGGUGAAUACGUUCUCGGGCCUUGCACACACCGCCCGUC